rnacentral:lncRNA from 1 species
AGCACUUGUGCUUUAUGCCAACAAGGUAUGGAGAACAGAGAUCAUCUUUUCUUUUCCUGUCCCUUUGUUAGGCAACUGAGGCAUCAAACAAUGUUAUGGAUUGGAGUAACUCAGCCUAAUUAUCAGAACUGGGAGCAGUUUAUUCACUGGAUCAUUGCCAAAGCUAAAGGGAAAACUAGUCGAGCUCACAUUGUCAAAAUGAUUAUA